GGGUCAUAUUGGACAUGGGCGAAGCUCUGUAUCCAGCCAUGACCGCGUGUGUGAAGAAGGUCUUCGGAUUGUAAAGCACUUUAAGUUGGGAGGAAGGGCAGUAACUUAAUACGUUGCUGUUUUGACGUUACCGACAGAAUAAGCACCGGCUAACUCUGUGCCAGCAGCCGCGGGUAAUA
rnacentral:rRNA from 1 species